rnacentral:rRNA from 1 species
UACGGAGGGCGCAAGCGUUGUCCGGAAUUAUUGGGCGUAAAGAGCUCGUAGGCGGUUUGUCGCGUCUGCUGUGAAAGCCCGGGGCUCAACCCCGGGUGUGCAGUGGGUACGGGCAGGCUGGAGUGCAGUAGGGGAGACUGGAAUUCCUGGUGUAGCGGUGAAAUGCGCAGAUAUCAGGAGGAACACCGAUGGCGAAGGCAGGUCUCUGGGCUGUUACUGACGCUGAGGAGCGAAAGCGUGGGGAGCGAACAGG